rnacentral:rRNA from 1 species
UACGUAGGUGGCAAGCGUUGUCCGGAUUUACUGGGCGUAAAGAGCGCGCAGGCGGUCGUUCAAGUCGCGUGUGAAAGCCCCCGGCUCAACUGGGGAGGGUCACGCGAUACUGAUCGACUGGAAGGCAGGAGAGGGUAGUGGAAUUCCCGGUGUAGUGGUGAAAUGCGUAGAUAUCGGGAGGAACACCAGUGGCGAAGGCGACUACCUGGCCCAUUCUUGACGCUGAGGCGCGAAAGCUAGGGGAGCGAACGGG